rnacentral:tRNA from 1 species
ACUAAGAUGGCAGAGCAUGGCAAUUGCAAAAGGCCUAAACCCUUUCAGCCAGGGGUUCAAAUCCCCUUCUUAGUU